rnacentral:misc_RNA from 1 species
GAUGAAGAACGUAGCGAAAUGCGAUAAGUAAUGUGAAUUGCAGAAUUCCGUGAAUCAUCGAAUCUUUGAACGCACAUUGCGCCCCCUGGUAUUCCGGGGGGCAUGCCUGUCCGAGCGUCAUUGCAACCCUCAAGCGCGGCUUGUGUGUUGGGCUUCGUCCCCCCGUGGACGUGCCCGAAAGGCAGUGGCGGCGUCCCGAAUGGUGCCCGAGCGUAUGGGAACUCUCUUCCGCUCGAACCGGCCCAUUCGGCGCUGGUCGAACCCCAAUUUUUUUUUUCCGGUUGACCUCGGAUCAGGUAGGGAUACCCGCUGAACUUAAGCAUAUCAAUAAGCGGAGGA